ensembl:misc_RNA Metazoa_SRP Metazoan signal recognition particle RNA
GCUGGGCAUGGUGGCGCGUGCCUGUAAUCCCAGCUACUCAGGAGGCUGAGGCAGGAGAAUUGCUUGAACCCAGGAGGCGGAGGUUGCGGUGAGCCGAGAUCGCGCCAUUGCACUCCAGCCUGGGUAAUGAGAGCGAAACUCUGCCUCAA